rnacentral:rRNA from 1 species
UACGUAGGGUGCAAGCGUUAAUCGGAAUUACUGGGCGUAAAGCGUGCGCAGGCGGUCGUGCAAGACAGAUGUGAAAUCCCCGGGCUUAACCUGGGAACUGCAUUUGUGACUGUACGGCUGGAGUGCGGCAGAGGGGGAUGGAAUUCCGCGUGUAGCAGUGAAAUGCGUAGAUAUGCGGAGGAACACCGAUGGCGAAGGCAAUCCCCUGGGCCUGCACUGACGCUCAUGCACGAAAGCGUGGGGAGCAAACAGG